rnacentral:lncRNA from 1 species
AAUCAAACAAACAUUCAUUUAUUAAACAGAUCAACCAAUUUGUCAUGGCCUUACAACAUUUGAGUACAGCAUGCUAAAUGAUUCAAUGCAAUAAUCCUACCCAUUCAUCCAUUACCACCACGAGUUCCCCAGAACCCUCAUCUGAACUCCAAUAAUAGUAUGCAGAUAAAAUUGUUUGUAAAAAUGCAAACAAGUUACCAGUAAAAGCACAAUAAAUCACCCAAUCUCCUCAAAUCUCCGGUGUAGUGUACUGACAACAAUAUUGCGAACUUUAAAUGUCGUCUGGUUCUCCACGAAACUCCUCCAUCCCACCCCAUGCAAAUGCAAUUAUAGCAUACAAUUAGUGAAGCACAUCAUGCUUAUCAAUAAUAGUUCAGUACAAUGGCAUGCUUAUCAUGUUUUUCGGUAAACAAUAUCGAGGUAUGCCUUGCAUACUUUCAAUUAACAGAAUCAGUGGCAUGUGUACAUGCUCUCAAUACAGUCAAUGUCAUACAUGGUAUGUAAC